rnacentral:rRNA from 1 species
CCUACGGGGGACAGCAGUAGGGAAUCUUCCACAAUGGGCGAAAGCCUGAUGGAGCAACGCCGCGUGGGUGAAGAAGGUCUUCGGAUCGUAAAACCCUGUUGUUAGAGAAGAAAGUGCGUGAGAGUAACUGUUCACGUUUCGACGGUAUCUAACCAGAAAGCCACGGCUAACUACGUGCCAGCAGCCUCGGUAAUACGUAGGUGGCAAGCGUUAUCCGGAUUUAUUGGGCGUAAAGGGAACGCAGGCGGUCUUUUAAGUCUGAUGUGAAAGCCUUCGGCGUAAACGGAGUAGUGCAUUGGAAACUGGGAGACGUGAGUGCAGAAGAGGAGAGUGGAACUCCAUGUGUAGCGGUGAAAUGCGUAGAUAUAUGGAAGAACACCAGUGGCGAAAGCGGCUCUCUGGUCUGUAACUGACGCUGAGGUUCGAAAGCGUGGGUAGCAAACAGGAUUAGAUACCCUAGUAGUC